ACAGCAGCCGCCACGGUAAUACGAAGGGUGCAAGCGUUAAUCGGAAUUACUGGGCGUAAAGCGCGCGUAGGUGGUUUGGUAAGAUGGAUGUGAAAUCCCCGGGCUCAACCUGGGAACUGCAUCCAUAACUGCCUGACUAGAGUACGGUAGAGGGUGGUGGAAUUUCCUGUGUAGCGGUGAAAUGCGUAGAUAUAGGAAGGAACACCAGUGGCGAAGGCGACCACCUGGACUGAUACUGACACUGAGGUGCGAAAGCGUGGGGAGCAAACAGGAUUAGAUACCCCUGUAGUCCCUGUCUCUUAUAC
rnacentral:rRNA from 1 species